UCCUCCUGCCUGUGCCCACAGCUCUGGGUCUUCCACGGAGCAGAGAGAGCAGACGAGGCUUCCGCGCUGCCCCACGCUUGGGCAUUUGGACUGGUUCUUUCUCUGUUGCCGAGUGACGAGCAGCAUCCGGAAGUGAAGGCUGACGGGUACGUGGACAACCUGGCAGAGGCCGUGGAUUUGCUGCUGCAGCAUGCCAUCAAGUGACGAGCCUUGUGGGGCGGCCCCCAGCCUCGCGCCUCCCCCCGCCCGCCCCGUGCCUGGGCCAGGUGCCCCUGCUUCCCCCCCCGACUCCUGGGGAGUUGUUGCUCCCCGGAUGGCCUGUCCCCUCGCCCCAGUGAAGUCCGAGGGUGGGACAGACCCCUGGGUGCCUCCGGGAAUACUCUGCGGGAACACCCUCCAGCCACCUGGCCCUGUGAACAUCCCCGCUAACUGGACUGAGGGACCUGUACCCCCCUGCCCCUCUAUCACUCAUUCUGUGCAUUUGACGGAGGAACCUGGGGAAGGCGGGGGCUUCCUGCUCCGUCCAUGCGGCCCUGGGGGCUGAGCCAGCCUCCCUGGGACUGCCCAGCAAGCCCCCGCCCGCCUCCUGGCCCCCACCCAGAGUCAGAGUGGCCACUGGGCACCCCCUCCCUCUCCUACCCCAAAAAGCACCUUGGAGCCCGAGGCUGGGGCAGCUCCCGGGGCACUGAAGACGGCUGUCCUUCAAAGCAGGACUUGUAACCGCGGGGGUCAAGGCUGCGGGCCCAGAGGGUGCUUCCGGGGCCCUAACUUGGUAGACUUGAGUGUGUCAUGCCCCACGUCGGCAGGGGCAACCACUGUUAAAUAAACUGCCCUGACCCGGCUCG